rnacentral:rRNA from 1 species
UACGUAGGGGGGCAAGCGUUGUCCGGAAUCAUUGGGCGUAAAGAGCGCGUAGGCGGCCCUGUAAGUCCGCUGUGAAAGUCAAGGGCUCAACCCUUGGAUGCCGGUGGAUACUGCAGGGCUAGAGUCCGGAAGAGGCGAGUGGAAUUCCUGGUGUAGCGGUGAAAUGCGCAGAUAUCAGGAGGAACACCGAUGGCGAAGGCGGCUCUCUGGGACGGUACUGACGCUGAGACGCGAAAGCGUGGGGAGCGAACAGG